rnacentral:rRNA from 1 species
GAUGAACGCUGGCGGCGUGCUUAACACAUGCAAGUCGAACGAUGAAGCCCAGCUUGCUGGGUGGAUUAGUGGCGAACGGGUGAGUAACACGUGAGUAACCUGCCCUUGACUCUGGGAUAAGCCUGGGAAACUGGGUCUAAUACUGGAUAUGACUUCUCAUCGCAUGGUGGGGGGUGGAAAGAUUUAUUGGUCUUGGAUGGACUCGCGGCCUAUCAGCUUGUUGGUGAGGUAAUGGCUCACCAAGGCGACGACGGGUAGCCGGCCUGAGAGGGUGACCGGCCACACUGGGACUGAGACACGGCCCAGACUCCUACGGGGGGCAGCAGCGGGGAAUAUUGCACAAUGGGCGCAAGCCUGAUGCAGCGACGCCGCGUGAGGGAUGACGGCCUUCGGGUUGUAAACCUCUUUCAGUAGGGAAGAAGCGAGAGUGACGGUACCUGCAGAAGAAGCGCCGGCUAACUACGUG